rnacentral:rRNA from 1 species
UAAGUACCGAAGCUGUAGACUUAGUUUACUAAGUGGUAGGAGAGCGUUCUAUUUGCGUCGAAGGUAUACCGGUAAGGAGUGCUGGAGCGAAUAGAAGUGAGCAUGCAGGCAUGAGUAGCGAUAAUUAAUGUGAGAAUCAUUAACGCCGUAAACCCAAGGUUUCCUACGCGAUGCUCGUCAUCGUAGGGUUAGUCGGGUCCUAAGUCGAGUCCGAAAGGGGUAGACGAUGGCAAAUUGGUUAAUAUUCCAAUACCAACAUUAGUGUGCGAUGGAAGGACGCUUAGGGCUAAGGGGGCUAGCGGAUGGAAGUGCUAGUCUAAGGUCGUAGGAGGUUAUACAGGCAAAUCCGUAUAACAAUACUCCGAGAACUGAAAGGCUUUUUGAAGUCUUCGGAUGGAUAGAAGAACCCCUGAUGCCAUCGAGCCAAGAAAAGUUUCUAAGUUUAGCUAAUGUUGCCCGUACCGUAAACCGACACAGGUGGGUGGGAUGAGUAUUCUAAGGCGCGUGGAAGAACUCUCUUUAAGGAACUCUGCAAAAUAGCACCGUAUCUUCGGUAUAAGGUGUGGUUCGCUUCGUAUUAGGAUUUACUCCGAAAGCGAAGAAACUUACAACAAAGAGUCCCUCCCGACUGUUUACCAAAAACACAGCACUCUGCUAACUCGUAAGAGGAUGUAUAGGGUGUGACGCCUGCCCGGUGCUCGAAGGUUAAUUGAUGGGGUUAGCAUUAGCGAAGCUCUUGAUCGAAGCCCGAGUAAACGGCGGCCGUAACUAUAACGGUCCUAAGGUAGCGAAAUUCCUUGUCGGUUAAAUACCGACCUGCAUGAAUGGCGUAACGAGAUGGGAGCUGUCUCAAAGAGGGAUCCAGUGAAAUUGUAGUGGAGGUGAAAAUUCCUCCUACCCGCGGCAAGACGGAAAGACCCCGUGGACCUUUACUACAGCUUGACACUGCUAUUUGGAUAAGAAUGUGCAGGAUAGGUGGGAGGCUUUGAGUAUAUGACGCCAGUUGUAUAUGAGCCAUUGUUGAGAUACCACUCUUUCUUAUUUGGGUAGCUAACCAGCUUGAGUUAUCCUCAAGUGGGACAAUGUCUGGUGGGUAGUUUGACUGGGGCGGUCGCCUCCCAAAUAAUAACGGAGGCUUACAAAGGUUGGCUCAGAACGGUUGGAAAUCGUUCGUAGAGUAUAAAGGUAUAAGCCAGCUUAACUGCAAGACAUACA